rnacentral:lncRNA from 1 species
UUCUGCCCCUGUGACUACUUCACCCAGGAACGCUUCUGUGUCCCAGCUGCCGGGAGGUCCCCACAACAGCUGCAACUAGGCGAGGGCCGGAAUCCAUGCACGCCCUCUUGAACGGGGGCUGGUCUCCGUCGAAUUCCUGCAAAGCAACGGAAUUCGAACGAAGAGCAGAACGAACUUUUCGUUCAGACAGGGUGCACACUUCCUGGCCCAAGACAUGCUGUACCAGGGCGUCAUAAGAGGCAAACGGCUUUCCAUAGAUGUCUGUGGCG